rnacentral:rRNA from 1 species
UGAGUGCGAGCGGCUACGGCCGCGAAGUGGGUGAUGUCAAGCUUCCAAGAAAAGCCCUAUACCCGUUAAGGCAUGAUGGCCUGUACCCGAAACCGACACAGGUGGGGUGGUAGAGAAUACCGAGGGGCGCGAGGUAACUCUCUCUAAGGAACUCGGCAAAAUGGCCCCGUAACUUCGGGAGAAGGGGUGCCACCGCAAGGUGGUCGCAGUGAAGAGGCCCAGGCGACUGUUUACCAAAAACACAGGUCUCCGCUAAGUCGCAAGACGAUGUAUGGGGGCUGACGCCUGCCCAGUGCCGGAAGGUUAAGGAAGCUGGUCAGCGCAAGCGAAGCUGGCGACUGAAGCCCCGGUGAACGGCGGCCGUAACAAUAACGGUCCUAAGGUAGCGAAAUUCCUUGUCGGGUAAGUUCCGACCCGCACGAAAGGCGUAACGAUCUGGGCGCUGUCUCGGAGAGAGGCUCGGCGAAAUAGAAUUGUCUGUGAAGAUGCGGACUACGUGCACCCGGACAGAAAGACCCUAUGAAGCUUUACUGUAGCUUGGUAUUGUGCCCGGGCUCUGAAUGCGCAGGAUAGGUGGGAGGCUUUGAUCCAUGGCUUGCGGGUCAUGGUGAGCCAACGGUGAGAUACCACUCUUUCAGAGCUAGGGUUCUAACGGUCACCCGUCAUCCGGGGACCGGACAGUAUCAGGUUGGCAGUUUGACUGGGGCGGUCGCCUCCUAAAAGGUAACGGAGGCGCGCAAAGGUUUGCUCAGGCUGGUUGGAAAUCAGCCGACGAGUGCAAAAGCAGAAGCAAGCUUGACUGUGAGACCUACAAGUCGAACAGGGACGAAAGUCGGCUUUAGUGAUCCGACGGUUCUGAGUGGAAGGGCCGUCGCUCAACGGAUAAAAGUUACUCUAAGGAUAACGGGCUGAUCUCCCCCAAGAGUUCACAUCGACGGGGAGGUUUGGCACCUCGAUGUCGGCUCAUCGCAACCUGGGGCUGAAGUCGGUCCCAAGGGUUGGGCUGUUCGCCCAUUAAAGCGGUACGCGAGCUGGGUUCAGAACGUCGUGAGACAGUUCGGUCCAUAUCCGGUGCACGCGCAGGAACAUUGAGAGGAUUUCUCCCUAGUACGAGAGGACCGGGAGGAACGCACCUCUGGUGUGCCAGUUAUCGUGCCAACGGUAAACGCUGGGUAGCCAUGUGCGGAGUGGAUAACCGCUGAAAGCAUCUAAGUGGGAAGCCCACCUCAAGAUGAGUGUUCCCAUGGCAUAAGCCAGUAAGGUCACGGGAAGAACACCCGUUGAUAGGCUCUACGAGGAAGCCGGGUAACCGGUGAAGCGGAGGAGUACUAAUAGACCGAGGGCUUGACC